CUGGAAAUAACAUUGAUAUAAACAGCAGAACUGUUCACAUUGCCUGUACAUUCUGAGUUCAAUAUAGACAUCAAGCUCUCUGUGUGUUUAGCAUUGCAGUGCGAAGUAAUCUUUUGAAAUGAAUUGGCUAAUCGUCUGCUGUUUGAUGUGCUUGACCUUCACCUUGUCCACACAGCAAGAACUUGAUUGCACAGACAAUGGAGUAUUUUACCCGAAUGGCUACAGAUUCAAACCGGAGCCGUGUAAAACUUGUUACUGCUCCAACGGGAACUACGGUUGUAUAGCUGUCAUGUGUGGCUUGCCCAAGUGUAAAGGAGAAGAUAAGCCUUUCGUCAGGGAUGGCGACUGUUGUCCAACGUGUCCUUAAAUAAGAGACUGUGGAGUCGGCUACUUUGAACCUACUGUAAUAUUUUGAUGACUGUAUGAUGUAAAUAUAAAUAAAAUGUAAAUGUA